rnacentral:rRNA from 1 species
UACGGAAGGCAGCAGUGGGGAAUAUUGCACAAUGGGCGCAAGCCUGAUGCAGCCAUGCCGCGUGUAUGAAGAAGGCCUUCGGGUUGUAAAGUACUUUCAGUCGUGAGGAAGGUGUUAAGGUUAAUAACCUUAGCAAUUGACGUUAGCGACAGAAGAAGCACCGGCUAACUCCGUGCCAGCAGCCGCGGUAAUACGGAGGGUGCGAGCGUUAAUCGGAAUUACUGGGCGUAAAGGGCACGCAGGCGGUUAAUUAAGUUGGAUGUGAAAUCCCCGGGCUUAACCGUGGGAAUGGCAUUCAAGACUGGUUAGCUAGAGUCUUGUAGAGGGGGUAGAAUUCCAUGUGUAGCGGUGAAAUGCGUAGAGAUGUGGAGGAAUACCGGUGGCGAAGGCGGCCCCUGGACAAAGACUGACGCUCAUGUGCGAAAGCGUGGGGAGCAAACGAGGGAUUAGAUACC